AGGUCAUCGCUCGGCAACGCACACGCGCUUGCCUACCGGAGAGACUAACGACCUCCCUCUUCCUCUGACGCACAGGCGACGAGCACCCAUACGUACACGAUGAUGGCGACCCCGACAAGGGGAGAGGCGCAGUGGCUGAAGGACGCAAGCGCGUCCGCGACGUGGCUAGCUGGACUUUCUUCCAUCGCUUCCCCCUCCCCGCCGCUGCGGUCUGGAACGGGGAGGCGCGCGUAUGAGUCGUCACCGCCGCCUCGAGUUGACGAGCAGUGGCGGCGAGACGCGCAGCCGCAGAGCGACUCGACAAACUUGCGCCGCCCUCUUCAUUGGCAAAGUACCGCCGUUUCAGAGCCUUUUUGCAGGGGCGGUCUUUACCCGCAUCUAGUGCGGAGCCACAGUCCGCCAUCGCAACAGGCACCACCACCACCACCGCGGCCCCCCCUCCCCCGCUGCACACGUUGGCGUGGGUAUAAGCCACUUAGCGCGCACACAGGCGCCACUGCGCUCUGGCGUCGAGGUCACUGUGGGCGGCCAUGCGUGCGGUGAAUCAGGUCAGCGUGGAGACAUACCACCGCCUUAUCAAUGCGCGGCGAGCGACGCUAGUGAGGCAGCGCAUCAGCACUCCAUUACCGUCGAGAAAGUCCGCAUCGCGUCAUGCCUGGCGGAUCAUAUUUCUGCAGCGAGCGCGGGUGUCUUUGGCGAUGUACCAGGAGAGUGGCCUUGCAAUCUCCACCCCUUCGAUACCAAGUCCGUCGCAGAGACUGUGGAAUGCGGCCGUCAAGCAGCUCUGCUGCACCGCGUGAACGAAGGCUUCUUUGACGUGACAGCACAACUUUCCCAUGAGGCAGCUGCUAGGGCCGUCGAGGUAGAUCGCCACCGACUCGCUGCGCAGUACAGCACUGAAAGAUGCAGGGCCGCCGCGGAGGCACACGCACAGGCGUGCGCGGAGCUUGAGGUUGCUCAGAAACAGCUGCUUCGUUUGGAAGAGGCGCACCAGAGGAGGUUUGCAACUGCUGCUACAGUGGAGGUAGAUGCUAGGAUGCCUGCGGACUCGACCACCACGGCACCAGAAGUCCCCAUCGACGCCGUUGCGCUUCAGCUGGAUGCCGAGAUGGCUCAGAUGCGAUUGCAAAGACAGCGUUACUCGACGCAGUGCACCCGCAAGACUCGUCUGCAGGCGCAGGCAGACAAGCUGAAUGCGCAAGGCAAGGACCUGACCGUCCAGCGUGAACGCGAGCAGACACGAAGCCCUCAAGAGCUCGAGCACGCGCUUGCGUCGUCUUCCAUCACAUUGCCAGAAAUAUGUCGCACUCCCGGUGAUCAAGCGCAGCUGCCAGCUGAGGUGCUCGGUGGCGCGAUGCAAGAGCUUUCUGCUUGCAUCACGGAGCGCCGCGAGCUGCUGCAGCACCUGCGUGACGACUCUCGAGACUGUCUAAAGCUCCUUGAUGCGCUUUUUGCGAAGUGCUCGUUAUCCACGGUUGCGGAGCCGGAGGACCAUUUAGCGUCUCAGAGCGGCAGCCAUGCCUCCGAUGCCACGGCGGCCAUCGCUGGCAGGGGCGAGGCGCCAACGAGAUGUGCCGCACGAAAUCAAGUUUACGACUCCGCCGCUACAAGUGCUGCCUCUUCCUCGGGCGUGAGGCAUGUUGAGGAAGGCAUGGCGAAGGCGUACCAGGCACUGUGCCGUGGCGAAGAAAAGGCUCUCGCUGAGAUGGAAUAUUUGUUGCACCUGCUGCAGCAGUGUGCGCAGCCGCAACAGCUACAGCAAGGGCGUGGGCGCCCUGGCGUGCCGCCGGAUGGCCGACUGAGCGCCAUGGAGAGCGCGACGCGAAAGACGUCUUCUGCUACUGCAGCUGGAGAUGUGCCUGCGCUGGUGAUGACGGCGGCAAACCAUGUGGCGUCUGCGGCAGGUGAUGGAUGGGCCGAGCUUGGCCGUUUAUUCACCAAAGAGAGCACGUGAGUAGAGACAGACCAAUGCACAUGAGGGACACAGCGAGGCGGGGGGGGUAUGGACAGCGACGCAACGGGUGCACACACACGCACAAGCGCACGCACAAACACACAAUGCAAUGGAUGUCGAGCGCUUUCACCCUUCUCAUCUGUGUGUUUGUGUGAGUGACUACAGCGGUCUGCUCUGCGUGCGUGCCUGACAUCGCUUGCGCGGCUUUGUCUUCUGUUCUUGCUGCAGGCCAACACACACGCAGGCACCAAAUGCCUGUGUGGUGCUC
rnacentral:misc_RNA from 1 species